UCUCUACACUACUGGAGCAAACCUGAAGCGGAUAACUGAUGUGGGGGCAAGUGCCCCCUCUUGCCCCUACGUGCGGGCGCCCAAGGGUACAGCAGAUCUCUCUCUGUGUGAGGGGUGUGGCAGGGUGUGGCGCAUGUCGUGCUGGAGUGUGUCAAGUGUGGCAGAGAGAACGAGGAUGACGCAGGGGUUUGUGACGAGAUGGGACGUGGAGUGGACGUGUUUGCUGGGAGGAGUGGAAGAUCGAGUUGCUGAGUGGAGGCACGAAUGGACGAGUGAUGGAAGCAGUGAAAGAGUUCUGGGAAAGAAUUUAGCGUACAGAAUGUAGGGAACAGUAUUUUGUCCCAUGUACGCAGGAUUGUGUCUGUUCUGUAGUAGGUUUUGUUUCUUUUCACAGGAGCUGCCGUUACAAAGGCCUGACGGGGCGAGUCACCUGUGACAUCAAGAUCAAGCGGAGAAAGCUCCAAAAGGGGCAGCUGUGACCUGAAGGGCCUUGGCAGUGUUUCUCGCGGAGGAGGAGCCCCGCGGCGCCCAGGCACACGACUUUGUGUCCCGGCGGCCACCACUGGUGCUGGUGUUGAGUGAGGCCGUGGGACAGGUGCUGUGCUCAGCGCCUCCUCCGUACUCGCUGCCGCUGACUUCAGGACUCCUUGGUGCAUCCUGCGCCUUGCCUGCUGGAUUGGUCCCUGAGUGUGGCUCUGUAGGAGCCUUGCCACCGCCUGCCCCAGCAUCUCUGAGGUUCCUGCAAGACCAGCCGACUCCUCCCACCUGGAGUAGUGUUGCAGUGGAGGCUGCAAGGCGGGGCAGCAGCUGGAGUGGCUGGGAGCAGCAGGAGCAGACUGCUACUGGUGUGAGGUUCAGGAGUGAUGAGAAACACCACCACCACCAACAACAACAGCCGCUACUGCUGGCAUCUCAUCCACAAAGGGGGAAGUUUGAAUUUCAGAAGUGUGAGAAGAUCUGAGAGUGAGAGCAAGUUUACUAGCCACAGCCAAGUGUGUGGGAAAAGACAUGCAGGGAAGGAUGACCUCAACAAAUACACCCACACACUCUGGUGUAAGACCUCAUGAAAGCCGUGAGUGUGGCAAAAGGUUUAGUAAUAAGAGUAACCCCAAACAUCACACCCUUACACACACUGGUGAAGGAAAUCACGAGUGUGAAGUUUGUGGGAAAUGUUUCAGGCAGAAGAGUGCCCUCAACACACACACCCUUACACACACUGGUGAAGGAAAUCAUGAGUGUGAAGUUUGUGGGAAAUGUUUCAGUCAGAAGAGUGCCCUCAACACACACACCCUUACACACACUGGUGAAAGAAAUCAUGAGUGUGAAGUUUGUGGGAAAUGUUUCAGGCAGAAGAGUAACCUCAACACACACACCCUUACACACACUGGUGAAAGAAAUCAUGAGUGUGAAGUUUGUGGGAAAUGUUUCAGGCAGAAGAGUAACCUCAACACACACACCCUUACACACACUGGUGAAAGAAAUCAUGAGUGUGAAGUUUGUGGGAAAUGUUUCAGUCAGAAGAGUACCCUCAACACACACACC